rnacentral:rRNA from 1 species
GACGAACGCUGGCGGCGUGCUUAACACAUGCAAGUCGAACGGAAAGGCCCUGCUUGCGGGGUACUCGAGUGGCGAACGGGUGAGUAACACGUGGGUGAUCUGCCCUGCACUUCGGGAUAAGCCUGGGAAACUGGGUCUAAUACCGGAUAGGAGCCAUUUUUAGUGUGAUGGUUGGAAAGUUUUUUCGGUGUAGGAUGAGCUCGCGGCCUAUCAGCUUGUUGGUGGGGUAAUGGCCUACCAAGGCGGCGACGGGUAGCCGGCCUGAGAGGGUGGACGGCCACAUUGGGACUGAGAUACGGCCCAGACUCCUACGGGAGGCAGCAGUGGGGAAUAUUGCACAAUGGGCGCAAGCCUGAUGCAGCGACGCCGCGUGGGGGAUGACGGCCUUCGGGUUGUAAACUCCUUUCGCUAGGGACGAAGCUUUUUGUGACGGUACCUGGAUAAGAAGCACCGGCUAACUACGUG